UCAGCCUGGUGGGUACUGCAGCUCGCGCGCACUCUCUGGUGGACGCUCAGAGCCGUGGCGUCCAGCCAAACGCUGUGAUUUUCCAGAUCCACAAAGGCCAGGAGGAGAGGAUUACAAGAAAACUAGACUGAAGUGCCGGGCAACCGCCUGUUCUGCCAGCAUUGUUUGGGAGUCAGGCUCCAAAGACCUUUGACUCCAGGGAAAGGUAGCCAGAGGGCAGAGCAUGCCAAGCUCUUGGGUUCUGAGCCCUGUGCAGCCACCAUUCUUCCCAGGAGGUGCCACAGCUCUGAAUUUUCCAGCUGUCUGUACCAUCAGUACCUAAUCUAUGGUUGAGGAGAGGUGGUAUAAAUCCAAGCUCAAAAUACCUGGCUGGAUCUGAUCUCAGCCCUGCCACCACUCACCAGUGAAAUGACUUUGCCUCUCUGGGCCUUGGUUGUCUCAUUUAUCACUGGGGAUAAUAGUCAUGUCUGGUAAUAACCGUUGUGAUGAUUAUUAAAGAAAUUAAGACACAUAAAGGCUGAGUGAAGUACCUGUUGC